GCUUCAGUGGUGUAGUGGUAGUAAAACACGUCCCCGGUGUGGAUGAAACACGGGUUCGAUUUCCGCCUGAUGCC